AAAUACAUACGUGGUAAAAUGGCUCAAUAGCCACAGGACGUUUCAUCAAUAUAUAUGAAAACCGGCACACACAGUUACAUUACCCUUAACCCAACAGGAUGUCAUCCAGAUUAAAUUUAGUGAUAAUUUCUGGACAUUUCCAUAUGUUGUACUAACACAGAACAGUAACACAGAGUAGACUGUAUCAACUUGAAACCGGGCCAGUGCAAUAUAGUAAAUGGUAAAUGGACCUGUACUUGUAUAGCGCCUUUCUAGUCUUCCGAGCACUCAAAGCGCUUUUACACUACGUGCCACAUUCACUCUUUCAUACACAUUCACUCAUUAAUGGCAAAGUCCAAGGAACAGAAACUAACACAGUCCUACACAUUCACACACCGAUGAAUAGCACUGGGAGCAAUUCGGGGUUGAGUAUCUUGCUCAAGGAUACUUAGACAUAUGGCGGGAGGAGCCAGGGAUCGAACCAACAACCUUCCGAUUAGUGGAUGACCCGCUCUUCCCACAGCCGCCCUAUGAAGACCUUUGCAUGAAAAGUUUUGUAAAUCACUGAAUGACAUGUCCUUGACGUGGUGUCAAAUUUAAAAGUAUAACCGUGUACAUGGUUCAACCCCCCCAUAUGGCACAUAUUUGAUUCCAAGCCUGAACACAUCUCAAUCUGUAACUGAGGUUAUACAUCAUCCAUCGUAUUGGUAGCUCCUCAGUGCUACUGAGUUUAGCUUCAUUUCUACCGUCAAUAUUAAUUCAAUAACUGCUUCUAAAGCAAAAACUUCACCAGCGGACAUGUUAGAGCGGGAGUCUGACCUGAAAUCACGGAGAAAUGAACAACAUCAACAAUCAGGAUUACAGCUUUCUGUGACGUUUUCCUCAGGUACAGCAGUGAGCAGUGACCUACAGUCUACACAGCCCAGUGAAGUUAAACAUAUUAUAUAUUACAUAAUAUUAACAACAUUAGUCAAGCAGUUGUUUCUAGUGAAGAAACAGCCAGUAAAUGUACCAAAGUAAUCAGAGUAAUAGUAUAAUGAUUACUGUAACCUCCCAUCUGUUAUAUUCUUUAUACACAUUAGUUUACUGAGACCAUGGAAACCUGGAAUACUUUAUCCUGUACAACAUGUCAACAUAACUGAAGGAAUUACUCAUCUAAUAAAGUAAAUUGUUUAUGGGGUUGAAAAACUGCUAAGUAACCAACUGUUAACUGUACUGUAUCCAUAUUUCAUAGUCUGAUAUUUUAACUUAAAAGUAUUAUUACCAAAGUUAACCUUCAGAUAUUUGUAAAAGCUGCAAUUAUGUUUAAACCCCAUUAAAAAUACUGUAUACUGAAUAUUCUAUCAUUUAUAUUAUAUAUUGUGAUGUAAUUUAUCUUCCAACAUAAUAAAGUUUGAAUGUGAGACAGUAA